CUUAGUAACUCUCCUAACCUAGCGCAGCCAGUCUCAAAGAAACCCCAUUCUCCAACCCCUUCCAGCCCCUCCCAGCCCCGCCUCCCAGUGCCUCCCAGCGCCUCCCAGUCUCGCCGAACCAGCGCCUCCUAGCCCUCUUCCAAUCCCGCUGAACCAGCGCCACCCAUCCCCUCCCAGCAGUGCCGAACCAUCCCCUCCCAGCAACGCUGAACCGGCGAAACCUACCCCUCCGAACACCAGAUAUGGAGUCUCCAAGUCAGAGGGAUCAUUCAAAGAAGAGAUUGGAUAGCCAUCACUUUAAAUCCAAUGGUUUAUAUGGGCAACAUAAUGAGCAGAAGCCAAAGACGAUGAAGCAAACUUGAUAACAGUUUUGACAAUAUUGCUCAGUGACUAAUAUUAU